CAGCAGAAUUACCAUGUUCAGAAGGUAAAGCUGAGCCUUUGUCUUGAUUUGUCUCUAAAAUUACUAGCGGAUCCUGAAUGGGCUCACCAUCUUCAGUGAUUACGGGUGCUGUAAUAUACCGGCCACUUCCAACAACAGGAAAUAUUUCGCUGCACUCUUCCUUCCACCUAGCAUAUUGUGUCCUUCUACGCUGGCGCAUCUGUUCUCGUUCAUCAAAUGUGCUCCUUGGAUCAUAACAACCAAGUAAAAAUUCCCAAACUUCCCCUCUAAUCGAUGGAUGGAUCCCCCCACGCUGGAUUCGACUUAAAGUCUUGCCUAUGUCUAGAUGCCCUUCUGGAGAAAAUGCAGUCUGCCAUUUCCUUGCACUUAAUGUUUUACCAGCCCUGAUUUUGAAUCGGGAUUUCGGAACAUCCGUGCAUUCAGGCCGGACGGCGUAGUAAGAAUCAGCAGGUUCUCCAGUGCUCCACAUUUACACAAAAACACUUUGGAAUUACAAAACCCAAAAAACAAACCAAGGAAAAAGGCCUCCAAAAACCCUUAACCAGCAGCGCCCAGGAGCUGGAUGGACCCCCGCAAAAUGAGAGUUUAUGUAAGAAAUGGAAGGUUCAAAAGGGGAUCAAAGCUCCCAACAAACA
rnacentral:misc_RNA from 1 species